rnacentral:tRNA from 1 species
UUAAUUGAAGCCAAAGGGAGAGGCACCUCAAUGUUAAUGAGGGAGAUGAUUUUAAUUAAUCCGAUUAAA